rnacentral:rRNA from 1 species
UUGGAGGGCAAGUCUGGUGCCAGCAGCCGCGGUAAUUCCAGCUCCAAUAGCGUAUAUUAAAGUUGUUGCAGUUAAAAAGCUCGUAGUUGAAUUUCGGGAUCAAUGUUUCGGUCAUGCCGUUGGUAUGUACUGAUAUUAUUGAUUUCUCACCUUCUAAAGAACCGUAAUGCCAUUAAUUUGGUGUCACGGGGAAUUAGGACUGUUACCUUGAAAAAAUUAGAGUGUUUAAAGCAGGCUCACGCUUGAAUACAUUAGCAUGGAAUAAUGAAAUAGGACAUCCGAUUCUAUUUUGUUGGUUUCUAGGAUCGAUGUAAUGAUUAAUAGGGAUAGUUGGGGGCAUUAGUAUUCAAUUGUCAGAGGUGAGAUUCUUGGAUUUAUUGAAGACUAACUACUGCGAAAGCAUUUGCCAAGGAUGUUUUCAUUAAUCAAGAACGAAAGUUAGGGGAUCGAAGACGAUCAGAUACCGUCGUAGUCUUAACCAUAAACUAUGCCGACUAGGGAUCGGAUGAUGUUAAUUUUUUAAUGACUCAUUCGGCGCCUUACGGGAAACCAAAGUGUUUGGGUUC